UACGUAGGGUGCGAGCGUUGUCCGGAAUUAUUGGGCGUAAAGAGCUCGUAGGCGGUUUGUUGCGUCGGCUGUGAAAUCCCGAGGCUCAACCUCGGGUCUGCAGUCGAUACGAGCAAACUAGAGUGUUGCAGGGGAGACUGGAAUUCCUGGUGUAGCGGUGAAAUGCGCAGAUAUCAGGAGGAACACCGAUGGCGAAGGCAGGUCUCUGGGCCAUAACUGACGCUGAGAAGCGAAAGCAUGGGGAGCGAACAGG
rnacentral:rRNA from 1 species